CUUAAUUAUUUACUAAUCAGUUUACGUUACAAGGCUUAAAACAAUAGAUAUGGGACAACAAAUAAAAUUUUUGCUCCUUAUAGGCGUUCUCAUGAUUUUGCGCCUUUCAAUGUGCGAGGCCCAAUGCGAUAUAUUCAACCGAUGCUCUGGUUUCCCAUACUGUUACCAUUCUUAUGGCUGCUAUGCCACACCCUCUAUUUAUGGUAGAGGUUAUGGACUUAAGUAACAAUGCAGGUUGACGUACAAAGUAUUCCUUAUUUGCUUAUGUAAAUAGUCAAUAAACGCAU